UGGGGAAUUUUGGACAAUGGGGGAAACCCUGAUCCAGCCAUGCCGCGUGAGUGAAGAAGGCCUUCGGGUUGUAAAGCUCUUUCAGCCGGAACGAAACGGUCACGGCUAAUACCUGUGACUACUGACGGUACCGGAAGAAGAAGCACCGGCUAACUACGUGCCAGCAGCCGCGGUAAUACGUAGGGUGCAAGCGUUAAUCGGAAUUACUGGGCGUAAAGCGUGCGCAGGCGGUUUUGUAAGUCAGAUGUGAAAUCCCCGGGCUUAACCUGGGAACUGCGUUUGAAACUACAAGGCUAGAGUGUGGCAGAGGGGGGUGGAAU
rnacentral:rRNA from 1 species